rnacentral:lncRNA from 1 species
UCGGAGGCACAUAGAGAAAGAGAUGCUACGAGCCUUGCCCCCCCCCCGUUUGAAGUGGUGAGGAGGAAGGGAGGGAGGGAGGGAGCCCUAAAUAACCAUUCCGCAGGGAGAAAGACAGGCAGCCGGGAGAGGUAAGAUCCGAGGGAAGCAAAGGAACUAAGGGGAGGUGACAAACCCAGAGUGGGGGUGGGGGGGGGAGCCCUCGAAAGGAGAGGCGUCGAGGAGGCCGCGCUCAGGCGGGCCCGAUCCCAGGCAGAAUUACUUAGAAGGCCUCAAUCAGAUGCAUUCCUCAGAUCCAAAGCAACACAAGUUCUCCUUCCCUAUGAAGAAGCUUCCCAAUGAUUUUGUCAGAAAAAUUAGACUUACAGCGUACAGGAUAACUUUCCGAAAACCACAGAGUGAGAGGAAUUAGAUAUGGCAGAAGAAGACAACAAAAGAAAUGUGUAAUCUGAAAAUAAGCUAGAUCAAGCCAUUGACUGCAGAGG